GGGGCCGGGCGCAGUGGCUCAAGCCUGUAAUCCCAGCACUUUGGGAGGCCGAGGCGGGUGGAUCACGAGAUCAAGAAAUCGAGAUCUUCCUGGCCAACAUGGUGAAACCUUGUCUCUACCAAAAA